CUACGGGACGCUGCAGUCGAGGAUAUUUUACAAUGCUCGAAAGAGUGAUAAAAUGAGCCAGAGUGUUUCUCCUAGAGAAACUUUUAUUUGCUGUAAAAAGGCAGAUGAAUAAGGACUGGGCAAGACCGGUGCCAGCCGCCGCGGUAAUACCGGCGGUCCAAGUUGCAUCCACAUUUAUUGAGUCUAAAACAUUCGUAGCUUGUUUUAUAAGUCUCUUGUGAAAUUUUAUAUCUUAAGUAUAAAGCAUGCAAGAGGUACUGUAUUACUAGAGACCGGAAGACGCAAAGAGUAUGAUUGAGGUAGCGGUAAAAUGUGUUAAUCUCAAUUAGACUAACAAUGGCGAAGGCACUUUGCGAGUACGGAUCUGACAGUGAGGAAUGAAGGCUAGGGGCGCAAAAGGGAUUAGAUACCCUAGUAGUC
rnacentral:rRNA from 1 species